CGAGGAAGGAGCCAGGAUGGCCUGGGCUCUGAAGCUGCCUCUGGCCGACGAAGUGAUUGAAUCCGGGUUGGUGCAGGACUUUGAUGCUAGCCUGUCCGGGAUCGGCCAGGAACUGGGUGCUGGUGCCUAUAGCAUGAGGGUGUGGUGGCCCACGCCUAUAAUCCCAACACUUUGGGAGGCCGAGGCGGGCGGAUCACUUGAGGUCAGGAGUUUGAGACUAGCCUGGCCAACAAGGUGAAAACCUGUCUCUACUAAAAAUAAAAAAAAAUUAGCCAGGUGUGGUGGCGUGGGCCUGUAAUCCCAGAUACUUGGAAGGCUGAGGCAGGAGAAUCACUUGAACCCAGGAGGCGAAGGUUGUAGUGAUCAGAGAUGGUGCCACUGCACUCCAGCCUUGGGGACAGAGUGAGACUCCAUUUCAGAAACAAAACAAAACAGAAACUCAUUUGAAAGCAGCAUUACUGCCUAUAUAACUUUUUGUGUGUAUUGGCUACUUCAUUUCUCUCUAUUUAAUUUUAGAUGUGCAAGAAUCCUGUUUGGAAAUGUUGAAACAGCUGCAUCUUGGGGUUAGAGGGACUAUAAUUGGGUUUCCUAAUGCAUUAUAAGACUUAACCUAAAUAAGUGAGUCAAGAGACUAGAACUUAACUUUUUUUUUUUCCCUGAGACGGAAUUUUACUCUUGUCGCCCAGGCUGGAAUGCAAUGGUGUGAUCUCAGCUCACUGCAACCUCCGCUUCCUGGCUUCAAGUGAUUCUCCUGCCUCAGCCUCGCAAGUAGCUGGGAUUACAGGCACCGGCCACCAUGCCCGGCUAAUUUUUUUGGGUAUUUUUAGUAGAGAUGGAGUUUUACCAGGUUGGCCAGGCUGGUGUCAAAACUCCUGACCUCAGGCAAUCCACCUGCUGAGGCCUCCCAAAGUGCUGGGAUUACAGGAGUGAGCCACCGCACCAUGCCAGAACUUAACAUUUUCACUGGGUUUAUGAGUUUAUAGGGGAAAGAUGCUUUUUAUGGGGAAAGUGAUGUAUUUUUCAUUCCUAUAAUGAGAUCUUUUAAGAGUUAUGUAAAGUUCCUUUAUUCCUGCUAAUUUAAAGUGGACUUGGCCAGGCAUGGUGGCUCACACCUGUAAUCCUAGCACUUUGGGAGGACGAGGUGGGUGGAUCGCCUGAGGUCAGGAGUUCAAGACGAGCCUGGCCAUCAUGGUGAAACCCCACCUUUAAAUAAAUAAAUAAAUAAAGUGGACUUUCCUCACUGAAGUAAAAUUAUGUUAGAAUUUAAUACUUCAGCAUCUUCAGGAAACUUUACUUAGAAUAAUAAAGACUAUUAUUCUAAAUAAUAAUCAUGCCUGUAAGGCUAGCACUUUUGGAGGUGGAGAUUGGAGGAUCCCUUGAAACCAGGAGUUCCAGACCCACUCUUCACAAAUAGGUCAACAGAUAAACAAAUUACCCAGGCCUGGUGGCAUUGUCCUAUAGCUCCAGCUACUCAGGAGACUGAGGUGGGAGGAUUGCUUGAGCCCAGGAGUUUGAGUCUGCAGUGAGUUGUGAUUGUACCACUGUACUCCAGCCUGGUGACAGAAUGAGACCUCAUCUCUUUAAAAUAAAAAAAGUAUUUAAAAAUUAAGAAACAUUGGGGAAAAAGACUAUCCUUAUAUAAAUAUUUUAGUGAUUUUCAGGGAAACUUGAGUUCUGUGUGUUCUAUCCUACAAUGACCUUAGUCUUGAGAAGUUUAACUUUGGGUUUACCUGUCCUUGUUUUUAUAAGUCUGAGCAUAAAAAUACAGGUUUUAUUUUAUUUUAUUUUAUUUUUUGAGACGGAGUCUCGCUCUGUUGCCCAGCUGGAGUGCAAUGGCACAAUCUCAGCUCACUGCAACCUCUGUCUCCCGGGUUCAAGUGAUUCUCCUGCCUCAGCCUCCUGAGUAGCAGGGAUUACAGGCAUGUGCCACCACACCAAGCUAAUUUUUAUAUUUUUAGUAGAGACAGGGUUUCACCAUGUUGAUCAGCCUGGUCUUGAACUUCUGACCUCAAAUGAUCUGCCCGGCUCAGUCUCCCAAAGUGCUAGGAUUAUAGGCAUGAGCCACCGUGCCUGGCCAAAAAUAGAGGUUAAUUUGGUCUGAAAGUAAAUGCCCUGACCUGGAACUUACACAUGAGCAUCUGACAUAAUAUUUGAUGAUUUUUUAUGCUGUUGCUUGUGUAAAGAUAUCCACAACAAAAAGUCUGAUUUUGUUUAGGUUACGAGAGGUUAGGAUGGAAAUAAUUAAAUCUAACUGUACUUGUUAUAAAAAUAAUUAACAUCAGCAAACGUUUGUUCAUCUACUAUACACACUACCAUAUGCUCUUGAUACUAUGCUAUCUUACAUUUAAUUAAGAGUGCUUUACAAAUCAUACCCUGUGUGGUUUUCACAGACAUUAGAAUGGCUUGCAUAUUUACGCAUUUAGUUUUCUUCAACAUUAAAAUCAAACGCACAGGUUUUCAAACAUCACUUUGAGUUCUUGAGAGCACAGUGUGCCAACAUUUUAAGUACUUUUUUCUUUUUUUUUUUUUUUUGAGAUGGCUCCGUUCUGUCACCCAGGCUGGGAUGCAGUGGCACCAUCUCAGCUCACUGCAGCCUCCAUUUCCUGAGCUCAAGUGAUCCUCACACCUCAGCCUCCUGAGUAGCUGAGACUGCAGGCACACACCACUACACCCAGCCUUUUUGUUUUUUUUUCAUCUUUUUUUCAUGUGUUAGGUACUCAUGAUUAUUCUCUUGACGCUUAUGCACAUUUAAUCUUUUCUAUUAAUUUGUGUUAAUUAGAUAUUGGUCUUCAUAUUUUAGUAUUCAUAAGAGUCACCUGGAGUACUUAUUAAGAAUACACUUGGGGCCGGGCACAUUGGCUCACACCUGUAAUCCCAGCACUUUGGGAAGCUAAAGCGGGCGGAUCAUGAGGUUAGGAGAUGGAGACCAUCCUGGCUAACACGGUGAAACCCUGUCUCUACUAAAAAUACAAAAACUUAGCCAGGUGUGGUGGCACAUGCCUGUCGUCCCAGCUACUUGUAGGAGGCUGAGGCAGGAGAAUCACUUGAAUUCGGGAAGUGGACCAAGAUAGUGCCACUGCACUCCAGCCUGGGUGACAGAGCAAGACUCUGUCUCAUAAAAAAGAUACACUUGGGGGCUGGGCGUGGUGGCUUAUGCCUGUAAUCCUAGCACUUUAGGAGGCUGAGGUGGGUGAAUCACCUGAGGUCAGGAGAUUGAGACCAGCCUGGCCAACAUAGUGAAACCCUGUCUCCACUAACAGUACAAAAAUUAGUUGGGCAUGGGGGCACACACCUGUAAUCCCAGCUAUCUGGGGGCUGAGGCAGAAGAAUCGCAUGCAUCCGGGAGGAGGAGGUUGCAGUGAGCUGAGAUUGUGUCACUGCACUCUAGCCUGGGCAACAGCUAGACUCUGUCUCAAAAAAAUGUAAUAAAAAUUAAAAUGUAGUUGGGGCCUAUAUUGGUGGCUCACACCUGUAAUCCUAGUACUUUGGGAGGCCAAGGUGGGAGGACUGCUGGAGCUCAGGAGUUUUCAUCAGCCUGGACAACAUAAGGAGACCCUCUCUCUACUAAAAAUAAAAAAAUCAGCUGAGUGUGGUGGUGCCUGCCCCUAGUCCCAGCUACUCUGGAGGCUGAAAUGAAAGGAUCAUUUGAGCCUAGGAGGUCAAGGCUGCAGUGAACUAUGAUUGUGCCAUCGCACUCCAGCUUGGGUGACAGAGUGAGAUCCUGUCUCAAAACAAUUUUUUAAAAAUACAGUGUAUAGGGUCCCAUCUCCAGUGAUUGGGGCACAGACUAGAAAUCUGGUUUGUUUAUUUAUUUAUUAGACAUGGGGUCUGGCUUUGUUGCCAAGGCUGGAGUAUAGUGGCCCAGUUACAGCUCACUGCUGUCUUAAAUUCCUGAGCUAAAGCAGUCCUCCCUAGUAGCUAGGGGUCAUGAGAUAUCAUGUCUGGCUGGUUUAAAAAAAAAAUCUUUUUUUAUUUGUUUUUUUUUUUGAGAUGGUGUCUUGCUCUGUCACCCAGGCAGUGGUGCAAUCUCAGCUCACUGCAAUCUUUGCCUCCUGGGUUCAAGCAGUUCUCCUGCCUCAGCCUCCUGAGUAGCUGGGACUACAGCCAUGGGCUACCAUGCCUGGCUAAUUUUUGUAUUUUUUAGUAUAGACCAGUUUUUGCCAUGUUGGGCAGGCUGGUCUCAAGCUCCUGACCUCAGGUGAUGAUCCACUUGCCUUGGCCUCCCAAAGUGCUGGGAUUACAGGUGUGAGCCACCCUGCCCAGCCUCUGUUCCUUUUUCUUUGUUCAUUUUUUUCCUGCUCCUCAGCUUAAGUAAUUUCAGUUCUGUCUUCAUGUUCAUUGAUUCUUUCUUCUGCCUAUAUCUUGAAUCUUUAGUGAAAUCUUUAUUUCGGCUAGUGUAUCUUUAUAUCCAGAAUUUCUAUUUCAUUCCUUUUUAUAUUUUAAAAAUAUUUUUAUUGAUAUUUCUUAUUUGUUUAUACAUUGUUCUGCUGAUAUCCUUUAGUUUUUUUUUUUUUUUGAGAUGGAGUUUCGCUCUUGUUACCCAGGCUGGAGUGCAAUGGCGCAAUCUCGGCUCACCGCAACCUCCGCCUCCUGAGUUCAGGCAAUUCUCCUGCCUCAGCCUCCUGAAUAGCUGGGAUUACAGGCACGCGUCACCAUGCCCAGCUAAUUUUUUGUAUUUUCAGUAGAGACAGGGUUUCACCAUGUUGACCAGGAUGGUCUCGACCUCUUGACCUCGUGAUCCACCCACCUCGGCCUCCCAAAGUGCUGGGAUUACAGGCGUGAGCCACCGCGCCUGGCCCCUCCUUUAGUUUUUAUUUUGUUUUGUUUUCAUUGUUUCCUUCAACUCUAUGAGCAUAUUUAAGACAGUUAAUUUAAAGUCUUUGUCUAGUAAGUCCAUUGUCUGGGCUUGCUAUAGGGUUGUUUCUGUCAACUUUUUUUUUUGCAAUUUCUUGUUGGGAAGUGGACAUUUUCUAUGUUGUAAUAUGGUAACUCUGAAAGUCAGAUUCCACUGCCUCCCUAGGGAUUACUGUUGUUACUUAUGAAAGCUGCAUUUGUCAUUUGUUUAGUGCCUUUUUCCAAACAGUCUUUGCAAAGAGCAUGUGGUCACUGAAGUCUGUGUUCUUUUAUCUCUGUGAUCUUUCAGUGACUUGAAAGAGAUUUCCGCAAAUGCUUAGAUCCAAUAAGAAAAGAAAACAAAACCAAAAAAAGAGUGUUCUGUCUCUUUAAAUCCACUUGUCUAGUGCCACUAGAGAAGCCACUUCAGUCGGGGGGUGUGCAUGUAUGAAACAGUAGCCAGCCUCUCUGGCAGCUCUUCAGCAAUCAAAAGUAGUGAACAAAGCACAUAACCUCAAUUUUUGGAAGACAAAGCCCCUGUUUCCCACCCUAGCACCAGCAAGCUGCAGCAGGAACUGCCAUCCCAACAGUUGCGUACCACAGGUCUGGGAGCUAGAAAAUGAUAGAUGCUGUUCCAAAUGCCAUAAUACACUAAAAUCUACCAACUUUUUUCCUCAUCAGGCACUACUCUGGACACUGCAAGUGUUUGAUUAGACCCCAGAAUCCUAAAAUAGUCACCUCAAGCAAUUCUUGCCAUCUCAAUAGUUGUUUUGGUGAAGGUCCUAACUCCUGGAGUUUCUACUCUCAUCUUCCAUGUCUGUGUUCCUAAUUUUCAGCAGCCUUUUAAUUGAUCCACCUCACCUUCUGACUCAGCGCAUACACACACACAUACACACACACUCUCAUCCUAUCUGUUCUCUACACAGAACCCUUUGUAAGUGCCUGUGUUUUUUUCCACUUAAAAGAUAAUUUCAUUCUCAACAUGGAAAAAGCAGAAUAAAAAAAAAAAUUCACGGCGGGGUGCGGUGGCUCAUGCCUGUAAUCCCAGCACUUUGGGAGGCCAAGGUGGGUGUAUCCCUGAGGUCAGGAGUUUGAGACCACCCUGGCUAACAUGGUGAAACCCCAUCUCUACUAAAGAUACAAAAAAUUAACCAGGUGUGGUCGUGGGCGCCUGUAGCCCCAGCUACUCAGGAGGCUGAGGGAGGAGAAUUUCUUGAACCUGGGAGGCAGAGGUUGUAGUGAGCCUAUGUUGCACCACUUCAGCCUGGGUGACAGAGCCUGUACCACUGCAUUGUAGCCUGGGUGACAGAGUGAGACUCUGUCUAAAGAAAAAAAGAGGCUGGGCACGGUGGCUCAUGCCUGUCAUCCUGGCACUUUGGGAAGCCAAGGCAGGUGGAUCACCUAAGGUCAGGAGUUUGAGACCAGCCUGGCCAACGUGGUGAAACCUUGGCUCUACUAAAACAAAGAAAACAGACAAUAACAAAAAAUUAGCUGGACAUGGUGGUGGGUGCUUGUAAUCCCAGCUUCUUGGGAGGCUGAGGUAAGAGAAUCACUUGAACCCAGGAGGUGGAGGUUGCAGUGAGCCAUGAUCAUGCCAUUGUACUACAGCCUGGGUGACAGAGUGAGACUUUGUCUCAAAAAAUAAAAUAAAUAAAAGAAAGAAUUGCUGGCUCUGAUCACAGAGUUGCAAAGAGGCAAUGGUUAUUUUUGCACAUCCCCAUUUUGUUGCAAGUCCGCCUACUACCACCACUGAAGUGAUGCCCAAGAGAAUUAAAGGGCUGGCACCAUACUCCCCUUCUCCUUUUUUCCCCCUUUUGAAAGCCAGAUAUUGAUGACCAGGGGCCAGGUGUGGUAACUCACACCUGUAACCUCAACACUUUGGGAGGCUAAGGCGGGUGGAUCACUUGAGGUCAGGAGUGUGAGACCAGCCUGGCCAACAUGGUGAGACCCCGUCUCUACUAAAAAUACAAAAAUUAGCUGGAUGUGGUGGCCCAUGCCUGUAGUCCCAGCUACUUCGGAGGCCAAGGCAGGAGAAUUGCAUGAACCUGGAAGGCGAGGUUUGCAGUGAGCAAAGAUCGUGCCACUGCACUCCAGCUUGGGUGACAGAGUAAGACUCCAUCUGAAAAAACAAAAAAAACAAAACAAAGAAAACAGAUAUUGAUGACUAGGAUGAUCAAAAGCAACCAAAUAGAUGGGGGAAAUUAAGAAGUCAUUUACACGCCCAGGGGGAUGCGGAUGACUCAGUACAGUCAUGUAUUGCAUAAUGAUGUUUUGGUCAGAGACAGACCUUGUAGAUGACAGUGGUCCUAUGAGAUUAUAAUGGAGGCCAGGCAUGGUGGCUUAUGCCUGUACUACCAGUGCUUUAGGAAAGGGGGCUCUAUUAAGGCCAAGAGUUCAAGAUGAGCCUGGGCAACACAGCAAGACCUCCUCUCUACAAAAAAAUAUAAAUAAAUAAAAAUUAGCUGGGCAUGCUAGUAUAAGCCUGUAGUCCUAGCUACUCGGGAGGCUGAGGUGAGAGGAUUGCUUGAGCCUAGGAGUUUGAGGCUGCAGUGAGCUAUGAUCAUGCCGCAUCACUCCAGCCUUGGCGACAGAGCAAGACUCUGUAAAAAAAAAUAAUUAAGAUUAUUUGGCUGGGCAUGGUGGCUCAUGCCUGUAAUCCUAGCACUUUUGGAGGCCAAGAUAGGCAGAUCACCUGAGGUCAGGAGUUUGAUCAGCCUGGCCAACAUGGUAAAACCCCUGUCUCUACUAAAAAUACAAAAUUAGGUGGGCAUGGUGGCGGGCUCCUGUAAUCCCAGCUACUCGGGAGGCUGAGGCAGGAGAACCACUUGAACCCCGGAGGCGGAGGUUACAGUGAGCCAAGAUCACACCACGGUACUCUAGCCUGGGCAACAGAGUGAGACUCCAUCUCAAAAAAAAGAAAAAAGACUCAAAUUACUGAAAUACUAAGAUAAAAAUGAAAGCAAGACUAUUGCUCUCAAUUCCACAGAAAUGAAAAGGGUAGGCUGGGCAUGGCAGCUCACAUGUGUAAUCCCUGUGCUUUUGAAAGCUGAAAUGGGAGUGUCACUGGAGCCCAGGAGCUCAAACCAGCCUGGACAAUAUACUGAGACCCUGUCUAUACAAAAAAAGAACACAUGCCUGUAGUCCUAGCUACUCCGAAAGCGGACGUAAAAUGAUUGCUUUAGCCCAGGAAUUCGAGCCUGCAGUUAACCAUGAGUGUGUCACAGCAUUCUAGCUAGGGUGACAGAGCCUGUCUCUCUCUCUUUUGAGACGGAGUCUUGCUCUGUCUCCAGGCUGGGGUGCAGUGGCAUAGUCUUGGCUCACUGCUACCUCUGCCUCCCAGGUUCAAAUGAUUCUCCGACCUCAGCCUCUUCUGGGACUACAGGCUCACAUCACCAUGCUCAGCUAAUUUUUGUAUUUUUAGUAGAGGUGAGGUUUCACCAUGUUGGCCAGGAUGGUGUCGAUCUCUUGACUUACGUGAUACGCCUGCCUCGGCCUCCCAAAGUGCUGUGAUUACAGGUGUGAGCUACCAAACCCAGCCAAGCCUGUCUCUUAAAAAGAGAGAUCAUAGGCCAGGCGUGGUGGCUUACACCUGUAAUUUCAGGACUUUGGGUGGCUGAGGUGGGCGGAUCCCUUGAGGUCAGGAGUUUGAGACCAGCCUGGCCAACAUGGUGAAACCCUAUCUCUACUAAAAAUACACACAAAAAAUUAGCCUGCUGUAGUGGCAUGUGCCUGUAAUUCCAAGCUACUCAGAAGGCUGAGGCAGGAGAAUUGCUUGAACCAGGGAAGUGGAGGUUGUCGUGCCCUAGACUGUACCUUUGCACUCCAGCCUGGACAAUAAGAUUCAAAUUCUGCCUCAAAAAAAAAAAAAAGAAUAAAAAAAAGAGAGAGAUUAUAAUAGAGUACUAUAAGCAAUUGUAGGCUGGUCUGAAAAUAAUGAAUUAUCUUAAUUGAUUGUUCACAGUCAGUUACAGAUAGAACUUGUUCUACUCUUUCCCCUAUCCUUACUAUUGCACUUGACUAGUUUUUUUGGGGAAAAAAAACCAAUAAACCAAUUGUAUGCCAACAAAUUGGGGUAACCUAGAUGAAAUUGUCACAUCCUAGAAACACAAAACCUACAAGACUAGAUAAACUACUAAGAAAUAGAAGAUGCAAAUAGUCUAUAGCUCAUAAGGAGAUUGUAUUUAUGAUAAAAAAUGUCCCAACAAAGAAAUCUCUGGACCUGAUGACAUCACUGGUGAAUUCUAUCAACAUUUCAAGAAAAGCUAACACAGUCCUCAGACAUUUUUUUUUAAAUUUAAGUUCUGGUGUAUAUGUGCAGUUCGUGCAGGAUUUGUUACAGAGGUAUACACAUGCCAUGGUGGUUUGCUGCAUCCAACAUUGAAGAGGAGACAACACUCACUAAUUCAUUCUGUGACAUUAGCAUUAUCUUUGACAUAGUUUGGAUAUUUGUCCUCUCCAAAUCUCAAGUUGAAAUUUUAUUUGCAGUGUUGGAGGUGGGUGGGACCUAGUGGGAAGUGUUUGGGUCAUGGGGGUGUAUCCCUCAGGAAUGGCUUGGUACAGUCCCUAUGUAAUGAGUGCAAUUUUGCUCUAUUAGUUUACUCAAGAGCUGGUUGUUUAAGUGACACCUCCAUCAUCUCUCUUGCUUCCUCUCUUGCCGUGUGACGUACCUGCUUUUCCUUCAUCUUCUGCCAUGAUUGAAAGUUGCGUGAGAUCCUUAUCAGAAGCAGAUGUUUGAACCAUGCUUCUUGUACAGCCUGCAGAACCAUAAGCCAAAUAAACUCUUUCCUUUGUAAAUUACCCAGCCUCAGGUAUUCCUUUUUAGCAAUGCGAAAUGGAUGAAUACAGCCUUGAUACCAACGCCCUACAAAGAUGCUAUAAAAAAUCUAUACACUAAUAGUUAUUUAUAUAUUUAUUUAUUUAGAGACAGAGUCUCAUUCUGUCGCUGAGGCUGGAAUGCAGUGGUGCAGUCUUGGUUCACUGCAACCUCUGCCUCCUGGGUGGCAGGAAUCUCAUGCCAGAGCCUCCCAAGUAGCUGGGAUUACAGGCAUGAACCACCAGGCUCAGCUAGGUUUUUAAUUUUUAUUAGAGACAGGGUUUUGCCAUGUUGGUUAGGCUGGUCUCAAACUCCUGGCCUCAAGUGAUCCACCCGCCUUGGCCUCCCAAAGUGCUGGCUUUACAGGCAUGAGCCACUGUGCAUGGCCUAUAGACUAAUAUUUCUUAGGAACAUUUAUGUAAAAAUCAUCAACAAAAUACAAACCAAAUUUAGCAGUGUAUUAAAAGGAUUCUACACCAUGACCAAUAAGUACACGAAAAGAUUCAACAUUGCUAGUUAGGGAAAUGUAAGUCAAAACUACAAGAUACUACCUCAUUCCCAUUAGAAUGGCUGCUAUCAAGAGCCGCAGAAAAUAAUUGUUGGGAAAGAUGUGGAAAAAUUGGAACCGUUGCACACUGUUGGUAGUUGUGUCAAAUGGCAUAGCCUAUGUGAAAAAUUGUGGUGGUUCUUUGAAAAAUUAAAAAUAGAAUUACCAUAUGUAUCAGGAUUUUCCAGAGAGACAUAACCAAUAGGGUAUAGAUGGAUGGAUGGAUGGAUGGACGGGUGAAUGAGAGGGGAUUUAUUAGGGGAAUUGGCUUACUCGAUUAUGGAAACUAACAAGAGCCAUGAUAGGCCAUCUGCAAACUGGAGAACCAGGGAUGCCAGUAGCAUGGCUCAAUCCAAGUCUCAAAGCCGCAAAACCGGGGAAACCAAUGGCAUAACUCAGACCAAGGCUGAAGGCCUGAAAACCUGGGAGGUUAAUGGUGUAAGUCCUGGGGUCCAAAGGCUGGAGAACUGGAGUUCUGAUUUCAAAGGGCAGGAGAAGGGUGUUCCAGCUUCAAGAGAGAAAAUGAAUUUACCUUUACUCUGCCUUUUUGUUCUAUCUGGGCACGCAGCCCAUUGGAUGUUGCCCUGCCACAUUGAGGGUGGAUCUUAAUACCUCAGUCAGCCUACUCACACACCAGGCUCCUCUGGAAACACCCUCACAGAUACAGUCAUAAAUAAUACUUUACCAGCUUUCUAAGUAUCCUUUAAUCCUGUCAAGUUGACACCUAAAAAUCCUCAUGCCAUAUGAUCCAAUAAUUUUACUUCUCUGGAGGCUUAGUAGUUCCCCUUUAUCUGAGGUUUCUCUUUCUGAGAUUUCAGCUUCCCAAGAUCAAUUGCGGCCUAUACAAAUAGGUGAAUAUAGUGCAAAAAGAUAUUUUGAGAGAAAGAGAGAAACCACUUUAAUUAUUUAGAGACGGAAUCUCAUUGUGUCUCCCAGGCUGUAGUGCAGUGGUACCAUCUUGGCUUACUGCAACCUCUGCCUCCCAGGUUCAAGCAAUUCUUGUACCUCAGCCUCCCGAGUAGCUGAGAUUACAUGUGCCUGCCACCACAGCUGGCUAAUUUUUGUAUUUUUAGUAGAGAUGGGGUUUUACCAUAUUGGCCAGGCUGGUCUCGAACUCCUGACCUCAAGUGAUCUGCCUGUCUCAGCUUCCCAAAAUGCUGGGAUUACUAGUGUGAGCCACUGUUCUGGCCACAUUUAUAUAAUUUAUUAACAUAUAUUAUUUAUUUAUUUAUUUACUGCAUUUUAGGUUUUGGGGUACAUGUGAAGAACAUGUAAGAUUGUUGCACAGGUACACACAUGGCGGUGUGGUUUGCUGCCUUCCUCCCCAUCACCUAUAUCUGGCAUUUCUCUCCAUGUUAUCCCUUCCCAACUCCCCACCCUGCACUGUCCCUCCCCUAUUUCCAACCCCCACAGACCCUAGAGUGUGUGAUGUUCUCUUCCCUGUGUCCAUGUGUUCUCAUUGUUCAACUCCCACCUAUGAAUGAGAACAUGCAGUAUUUGAUUUUCUGUUCUUGUGUCAGUUUGCUGAGAAUGAUGGUUUCCACGUUCAUCCAUGUCCCUACAAAGGACAUGAACUCAUCGUUUUUGAUGGCUGCAUAGUAUUCCGUGGUGUAUAUGUGCCACAUUUUUCCUGUCCAGUCUAUCAUCGAUGGGCAUUUGGGUUGGUUCCAAGUCUUUGCUAUUGUAAACAGUGCUGCAAUGAACAUUGGUGUGCAUGUGUCCCUAUAACAGAGCAAUUUAGAAUCCUUUGGCUAUAUACCCAGUAAUGGGAUUGCUGGGUCAAAUGGAAUUUCUAUUUCUAGGUCCUUGAGGAAUUGCCACACUGUCUUCCACAGUGGUUGAACUAAUUUACACUCCCGCCAACAGUGUAAAAGUGUUCCUGUUUCUCCACAUCCUCUCCAGCAUCUGUUGUCUCCAGACUUUUUAAUGAUUUUCAUUCUAACUGGCAUGAGAUGGUAUCUCAAUGUGGUUUUAAUUUGCAUUUCUCUAAUGACCAGUGAUGAUGAGCAUUUUUUCAUAUGUUUGUUGGCCUCAUAUAUGCCUUCUUUUGUAAAGUGUUUGUUCAUAUCCUUUGCCCACUUUGAGUUUUAUUUUUUAUUUUAUUUUAUUUUUUUAAAGACGGGGUCUCACCCUGUUGGUCAGGCUGGUCUUGAACCCCUGAUCUCAGGUGAUCCACACGCCUUGGCCUCCAAAGUGCCUGGAUUACAGGCGUGAGCCACCGCACCCAGGCGAGUUGUUUUAUUACUAGUUGUUGUUAAUCUCUUACUCUGCCUGAUUUAUAAAUUAACUUUGCCAUGGGUAUAUAUGUACAGGAAAAAACACAGUAUAUGUGGGGUUUGAUACUGUCUGUGGUUUCACACAUCCAUGAGAGUCUUGGAUCCCUCCAUCAGAUGAGGAUGACCUAAUGUAUACUCAAAAGAAUUUAAAGCAGGAUCUUGAAGAGAUCUUUGUGUACCUAAUGUUCAUAGCGUUACUUAAAAUGGCUAAAAUAUGGAUAUAGCCCAUUGAUGAAGGGAUGAAUGGAUAAGCAAAAUGCUGUAAGUACAUAUGACGGAAUAUUAUUCAGCCUUUAGGGUGGCUGCUAGUAAAAAAGCAAAGUAACAAGUGUUGGCAAGAAUAUAGAGAAACUGGAGCCUUUAUGCAUUGCUGGUGGCAAUGCAAAAUGGUGCAUCCAUUGUGGAAAACACUAUGGUGGUUCCUCAAAAAAAUUAAACAUAGAAUUAUGAAACAUCAGUUCUACUUCUGAGUAUAUUCAAGACAAUUGAAAGCAGUGACUUGAACAGCUAUUUGUACACCCAUGUUUAGCAACAUUAUUCACAAUAGCCAAAAGGAGGGAGCAACGUAGAUAAACAAAAUGUAUAUAAUACAUACAUACUGGAUUAUGAUUCAACCAUGAAAAAGGAGAUUUUGAUAUGUGAUUAAUAUGGAUAAACCUUGGAACAUUAGGCUGUGUGAAAUGUCAGACACAAAAGGACAAAUAUAUGAUUCCACUGCCGUGAAAUACCUCAAGUAGUCAAAUUCAUAAUGACAGAAUAUUGAAUAGUGGUUACUGGGGGAGGAAAGCAUCCUUCAAUUUGUUUUUGUCUGUCGUUUCCUCGUGCUUAGAUUCAGGUUAUGCACAUUGGGCAUUAAUACCUAAGAAGCGAUGCUGAGUUCUCUGUGUAUCAUAUUAGGAUGCACAUGCUAUUUAUUGCUCCUGUUGCUGGCAAUGUUACUUGAGUGGUAGGGUCCGGUUUUCUCCAUCAUAAAGAUAAUAGUUUGCCUUUUGUAGUAAUGUAUUGGGAGAUGUUUUGAGACUGUAAAUAUCCUGUUCUUAAACUUUCACCUGUUAAUUUUAGCAUUCAGAUGAUUCUUGCCCUAAUCAGUUAUCUUUAUGAUCCUUGCCAAGUGAUUUUCUCAUUUUGCCCUUCCCUGUAUAUUUAAUAAUUGGCCUUCUACUGUAAGAAAGACCUAUCUUUUAAAACAAUGUAGACUCAUAGAUUCUUACUUUAUUGAAUACAUUGUAAUCUUCUACUAUCACUAUAUAUUUUGAUGACAGUGUUCCAGAUUUGGCCAGGAGAAACCCCUUCACAAUGACUUGCACACAGAGAAGACUUUUAAAACUAGGUCUUGUUAAUACUGUCCUAAGGUAACUAUUAAUAUCACCCUUCUUCACUCACUAAGUAUACCUGUCUUAGUGAUAAAUUAUAUGAUCACGUUCUUUAAAACGUUCAUCAGAUCAUGCCAGUUUUCUCCUGAAAAGUGUCCAGUAAAAAAAAAAGAGAGAAAGAAAAGUGUCCAGUAGUUUCACGUCUCACUUUUUUUUGUUUUAGUUUUUGUUUUGAGAGAAAGAAAGAAAAAAAAAAGGAGUGAAGGAGAGGAAGAAAAAGAGGGAGAGAGAACAGAAAUGUUGCUUUAUUCUAAAAAAAACGGGUGUUAAUAAUGGCCAAUCAAUGUUUCAUUUAAACCUAUGAAUAGGUGUGAUGUGGUAUUGACAAGAAUGUAUAUUUUGUGUAUUUAAAGUGGAGGGCUCUAUAAAUAUUUAUUGAGUUUACUUGUUCUGGAUCUGAGUUCGAGUCCUGGAUAUCCUUAUUAAUUUUCUGUCUCAUUGAGUCUAAGUCUCUAUGUAUCUGGGUGUUAGGAUCGUUAGCUCUUGUUGUUGCAUUGAUCCUUUUACCACUAUAUCUUUGUUGCUUUAAAUCUAUUUUAUCAGAUACGAGAAUUGCAACUCCUGCUUUUUAUUUAUUUAUUUAUUUUUGCUCUCCAUUUGGUUGGUAAAUCUUUCUCCAUCCCUUUGUUUUGAGUCUUUGUGUAUCCUUGCAUGUGAAAUGGGUCUGGAUGUAACAUGCCAUUGGGUUUUGGCUGUAUCUUUUGAUUGGGGGAUUUAGUCAAUUUAAGUUUAGAUUACUGCCAUUUGAUGUUAACUGUUUUAUCCAUUCAUUGAUGUAAAUUCUUCUUUAUGUUGAUGCUCUUUACUUUUUGGUAUAUUUUUAGAAAGGCUAAUACUGGUUGUUUCUUUCUAUGUGUAAUGCUUCUUUCAGAAGCUCUUGUAAAGCAGGCCUGGUGGUAAUAAAAUCUCUGAGUACUUGCUUGUUCAUAAAAGAUUUUAUUUUUCCUUCAGUUGUGAAGCUUAGUUUGGCUGGAUAUGAAAUUCUGGGCUGAAAGUUCUGUUCUUUAAGGAUGUUGAAUAUUGGCCCCCACUCUCUUCUGGCUUGUAGAGUUUCUGCUGAGAGAUCUGCUGUAAGUCUGAUAGGCUUGCCUUUGUGGGUAACCUGACCUUUCUCUCUGGCUGCCCUUAGUAUUUUCUCCUUCGUUUCAACCCUGGUGAAUCUAACGAUUAUGUGCCUUGGGGUUGCUCUUCUUGAGGAAUAUCUUUGUGGUGUUCUCUGUAUUACCUGGGGUUGAAUAUUGUCCUGCUUUGCUAGUUUAGGAAAAUUUUCCUGAAUAAUAUCCUGAAGAAUAUUUUCCAGCUUGGAUUCAUUCUCUCUGUCGCAUUCAGGUACACCUAUCAAAUGUAAAUUUGGUCUUUUCACAUAGUCCCACAUUUGUUGGAGACUUUGCUCAUUACUUUUUAUCCUUUUUUCUUUAAUCUUGUCUUCUCGUUUUAUUUCAUUAAGUUGGACUUCGACCUCUGAUAUCCUUUCUUCUGUUUGAACAAUUCGAGUGUUUAAACCUGUGCAUACUUCUCGGAGUUCCUGCAUUGUAUUCUUCAAGGUCCAUUAAUUCACUUAUAUUCCUCUCUAAGUUGUCUAUUCUCAAUAGGAUUUCGUCAAACCUUUUUUCAAAGUUCUUAGUUUCUUUACAUUGGGCUACAACAUGUUCUUUUAACUCACAGAAGUUUCUUCUUAUCCAUGUUCUGAAGCCUGAUUCUGUUAUUGGGAUGCGCUUGUUCUCCAUCAAGUCUUGUUCCCUUGUUGAUGAGGAACUGUGAUCCUCUUUGGAGAGAGAGAGGCAUUCUGAUUUUGAGUAUUCUCAGCGUUUUUACGCUGGUUUCUUCCCAUCAUUGUAAAUUUAUCCACCUGUCAUCUUUGUAAUUACCAACUUUCAAAUCAGGUCUCUGAGUGGACGUCCAAGUUGUUAAUUCCCAGGGCCAAAAUAUGAGCAACCCACUGCACUGGCCAAAACAGCAGCAUUAAGAUUGAUGGUGCUUUUCUGCCCAGGAAUCUCCAGUCUGGCUUCCUUCUUGAAUCCGUAAUAGGUGACUCUGCCUUCCUGGAGCUCCAAACCUCGGUCAGACGGAGAACCAGUCCCGUUUACUCUGCACCUAGAGCUGCCAUGCCGAGGUGCUGGCACAACCUCUGCGCCGGCCACAAGAGUCGUGCUGGCGACCCGUGUGGCUCCUCCACUGGGAAUCUUCUGCUCCGUGAGUGACCAAAAUUUGUCUGAAAGUGUGGCAUCCUCUCGUUCUCUGAGGUUUCACUGGGAGCUGCAAUCCUGAGAUGUAAGCGAUCGGCCAUCUUGGAUCGUUCCCACAUCUCACUUUGAAUAGAAGCCACGGGUUUGGCAAGGAUCCAUAUGGUCUGCUUCUCCAACCAUUUUAUAUACUCUUCUCCCGGCUUGCUCUGCUGCAGCUGCACCUGAUGUUGGGGCUCCAUUCCCACCUCAGUGUCUUUGCAUUUGCUGUUACUCUUCCCGAAACGUUCCUCUGUGUUUCUUCCUUCCUUCCUCUACGUUUCUGUUCACAUGUCACUUUAGGAGGCCUUCUAACCUCCUUUAUGUAAAAUAGCAAGAGCCUCCUUCACCUCACCAGCAUUCCUUGCUUUCUUUACUCUCUCUGCUUUAUUUUUCCCUAACAUCUGAUUUGUAAUUUAUUUGUUGGCUUCUCUCCCCAACUUCAUGCUUCAUUAAAAAAAAGGGGAUUUUCUUUUGUUCUCUGCUCUCUGCCUACCGUUAGAAUAGUGCCCAAUAAGUAGUUUGCACUGAUUUGUUGAAUGAAUGAACUAUCUCUCCAUUUAAAAAAAAAAAAAAAAAAAAAGGCAAGUAGUGUAGCAGUUCCUGAGGCAACGAUCUCUCUUCGUUGAGACCUGAGUCUCUUCAUUGAGACCAGUUUUGGCCCUUUUGUUGUUGUUUGCUGUGCUUUUUCAGGACUUUUUUUCCCUUAAUUUCUCCCCACUUCAAUUAUCACCUGUCCGUCUUCCAGAUCUUCUCUCUUUGUCUCAGAGUUGGUCAGUUGUUACUGUUCUUUACUUUCCCUUUCAUUCUAAGUCUCUUAUGAUGGACAUUGUGUUUAGAUGAGAUUUACCUGCUUUACUACAAAGGUUUUCCAUCUCUUUUUAAAUUUUAAAAUUAAAAAAGAAAUUUAUGUCAUUACUUUUUUUUUUUGAGUGGAGUCUUGCUGUGUCGCCCAGGCUGGAAGUGCAGUGGCUCAGUCUUGGCUCACUACAGCCUCUGCCUCCCAAGUUCAAGCGAUUCUCAUGCCUCAGCCUCAAGUGAUUCUCAUGCCUCAGCCUCCCAGGUAGCUGGGAUUACAGGCAUCCACCACCAUGCCCGGCUAGCGUUUUUGUAUUUUUAGUAGGAUUAGUCUUUCCUAGGAGGAGGAACUUUGCCCUCAUUGUAUCAAGAGCAAAAGAGAAGAUGGUUUCAAGGAGAGGUAGGUUUGUAGGUUUAAUAGGGGAAGAAGAUGCUUAAAAAUGUAUGAGAAGGGCUGGGUGCAGGGCUCACACCUGUAAUCCCAGCACAUUGGGAGGCCAAGGCAGGCAGAUCACAAAGUCAAGAGAUCGAGAUAGAGAUCUUCCUGCCCAGUGAUUUUAGAAAUGUAAUAAAAGAGCCUAGUACUAAUGAUGCCACAGGUGAUGUUUUCAAUUAGCAAUGUUUUAAUGAGGUUUGUAGGCUGGUAAGAGCUAAUCCUAUAAAGUAUGGAACAAAACUGAGAAGGUAGGCCUGUAUCUGGUAAAUCUCCUGAGGUAGGGUUUUGCUGAUUCAGAUUUCUUUGAUUAAAUUUUUAAUAUCUUACAAGUUCCCUGGCAGUAAAUUUGUAUUUUACAUAGAUGCUUUUCAGCUUCCAAAUAAAAUAAGGUUAGCAGAAAUUAGAUGUAUUUAGUGACUUUAUAAGCUAAAGGAAAAUAAAAGCACAUUUCUGGUAGAUGUAAUUAAUUCAUAGUUGGCAAAUAAUUCAGCAGAGUAGAAAUGUAAGAGACUCAAAGACUUGAGGAGAAAAAAGGGAAAUCAGCUUCAUUUUUUGGUAAACUUUAAGAUGUAUGUAAUGAAAUGUACAUCUGGCAUAUUGCAAGUGAUCUAAACUGAUCUCAUAAUUGUGCUGAAGAAAUAGAAAGAUUUGUACUCCAGAAGCAUUACUUAAAGUGCUUAAAGGACAUUAAGCCCCGCUGGGCGCAGUGGCUCACGCCUGUAAUCCCAGCACUUUGGGAGGCCGAGGAGGGCGGAUCACGAGGUCAAGAGAUCCAGACCAUUCUGGUCAACAUGGUGAAACCCCGUCUCUACUAAAAACACAAAAAAUUAGCCAGGCAUGGUGGCGCAUGCCUGUAAUUCCAGCUACUUGGGAGGCUGAGGCAGGAGAAUCGCCUGAACCCAGGAGGUGGAGGUAUGGUGAGCCGAGAUUGCACCAUUGCACUCCAGCCUGGGUAACAAGCAAAACUCCGUCUCAAAAAAAAAAAAAAAAAAAGAACAUUAAGCCCAAUUUUGACAUCUGGGAAAAAGUUCCGGAAUUAGUAUCCCCAAAGAAAGACUAUCAAAUAACAGCUAUCUCUAUGAGGGACAGCAUAAAAUACAGAUAUGGUAUAGUUUUUUGUUGUUCAUUUGUUUUUGAGGCAGAGUCUCAAACACAGGCACAGAGUUUCUGUUGUCCAGGCUGAAGUGCAGUGGCACAGUCUCAGCUCACUGCAGCCUCCUCUCCCAGGUUCAAGCAAUUCUGCUUCCGCCUCUCAGCUGGCUGGGACUAUGGGCUACAGGUGUGUGCCACCAUGCCUGUCUUUUUUUUUUUUUUUUUUUUGUAUUUUUAGUUGAGACAGGGUUUCACCAUCUUGGUCAGGCUAGUUUCGAACUCCUGACCUCAAGGGAUCCACCUGCCUUGGCCUCCCAAAGUUCUGGGAUUACAGGCAGGAUUACACUGCAUCCAGCAUAUGGUAUAGUUUUUAUCUACUGCUAACUUGUGUUUCCAUGUUCCUGCUUUGGAACUGGAGGGGAAUGGAGGUAAGCUACUCAGGGCAGUUGCAUAAAACACCUGCUAUAAACAUACUAGGUCUUUUCAAGUUAUGUCAUUUUUACUAUAUAUUUUUAAAUAAUUUCUUUGUGCUUCCUUGAGUAUUAGUAAUACUGUAAAGACAGUGAGCUGGAGAGGAAGAAAACAAUAGGGGUUUGAGAAAAAUUUAGUGUGGUAUUGCUGUGAAGAGAUAGAAAUCUAAAUUUAGAUGACAAUGAUAUUAUGCUCUGUCAGGGAACCUUCUCUUUUUGACUCAUCCAGGCUGGAGUGCAAUGACCUCUGCCUCCUGGAUUCAAGCGAUUCUCCUGCUUCAGCCUCCAGAGUAGCUGGGAUUACAGGCACCUGCCACCAGACCUGGCUAAUUUUUAAAUUUUUUUUUAUUUUUAGUAGAGACGUAGUGUCACUAUGUUGGCCAGGCUGCUCUCAAACUCCUGACCUCAUGAUCCACCUGCCUUGGCCUCCCAAAGUGCUGGGAUUACAGGUAUGAGCCACCUCGCCCAGCCCAGGGAACCUUCUUUAACUUGUUUAUUGCUAUAUUCCUGCCACCUAAAACAGGGUCUGUGCUUUGAGCACAUAGCAAGUGCUCAAAGACUAUUUGAUGAAUUCAAAAAAGAAGAAAAGGUUUUGAAGGGAUAUACUGAUACGUCAGACUGCUUUCUCCCUAGUAGUGGUGAUGGGUAUGUGUAGACCUGAACAAAUUCGCUAACCCUUUGUGGUAACGUUUCAAGAUACUUCACUGAAGACCUCUGUAAAGUCAAGUCUUGCUAUCAAAAGCUGGUCAUCCUAGAUGACAUAGAGAUCAAACCCAUUCAUUAUCUUAGUUUAUCAAUACAUAGCACUGAGUAAUUAAGCUCACCAAUCCCUCCUCCCAUUUGGAUUUAGUUGACAUGGGAUACGGUGUGGAAGGGAUUUUUUAAAACUCCCCAGGUGAUUCUAAUGUGCUGCUAAGAUUGAGAGCCAAUGCUGUUUAGAUGCCUUUCAUACAUACCUGACUUGAAUUUAGUAAUAUAAUAUACAAAUACAGCACAAGAUGAUUUGCAAACGAUUUUAUUUCUAAAUACAUUCUGACUUAAAAAGCAGGAUCUGAAUUGUAAUUAUAGUGGAGUGGGGUUUUUUUGUUUGUUUUUGGUUUUGUUUUGAGAUGGAGUCUCCCUCUGUUAACCCGGUUGGAGUACAGUGGCACCAUCUUGGCUCACUGCAACUUCCGCCUCCCAGGUUCAUUCUCCUACCUCAGCCUUCCAAGUAGCUGGGACUACAGGCGACCAUCACCACACCUGGCUAAUUUUUGUAUUUUUAGUAGAGACAGGGUUUAACCAUGUUGGUCAGGCUGUCUCAAACUCCUGACCUGAAGGGAUCCGCCUGCCUUGGCCUCCCAAAAUGCUAGGGUUACAGGUAUGAGCCACUGUGCCCUGCCUUGAAUUGUAGUUUUUUUGUUUUUUUUUUUUUUUGGAGACUGAGUCUUUUUUUUUUUUAAGGAUUCUUGCUCUGUUGCCCAGCACAGUGACAGCUCACUGCAGCCUCAACUUCUUAACCUCCAGGGUUCAAGCAGUCCUCCCACCUCAGCCUCCUGAGUAGCUGGGACUACAGGUACGCACCACUAUGCCUGGGUAAUUUUUAUAUUUUUUUUUUUUUUAUAGACACAGGGUCCUACUACAUUGCCCAGGCUGGUUUUGAACCCUUGGGUUCAGGCGAUCCUCCUGCUUCCCAAGUGCUGAGAUUAUAGGCAUCAGCACAGUGCCCAACCCGUAUUUGUUUGAUUAUACAUUUUAGUGGAUAUCAUUCCUGUUCCUAAGUAGCUGAAUUACAGUAUGAUCUUUUAGACUUGUCUUUUAUUAUGUUCACUUUUAAAAUACUGUUAAAGGAACUGUAAAUAAACUUGAUUUAAUUGAGUACAAAGUUCUAAGGGGCAUGAAAGACUAGGGCAGUGUUUUUUCCAAACUUCACAUUGUAGAAAACAUUUAAAAUUAAGUCAAAUAGAAAAUACCAAGGCCAGGCGUGGUGGCUCACACUUGUAAUUCCAGGACUUUGGGAGGCUGAGGCUGGUGGAUCGCUUGAGCUCACAAGUUCAAGACAGCCUGGGCAACAUGGCAAGACCCCAUUUCUACUAAAAAUACAACAAAAAAAAAAAUAGCUGGGCGUGGUGGUGCAUGCCUGUAGUUCCAGCUACUCAGGAGGCUGAGGUGGGAGAAUGGCUUGAGCCCAGGAGGCAGAGAUUGCAGUGAGCCAAGAUCGUGCCACUGCACUCCAGCCUGUGCAAUAGAGCCAGACCUUGUCUCAAAAAAAAAAAAAAAAAAAAGAAUGAAAAAUACUGAAAUUAAUAUAUAUUGUUUUGUGAAACUGUUCUCAGUUUUGUAGACGCACAAACAUAUGUACGUGUCUACUGGGUCUGAAUAUAAAAUGGCUUACUUAAUAUGAAUGGUAUUAUAAGAUAUUUAAGCCACAAAACUAAAGAGCAUAUGACAAGAUGGAAGAAAGGAGAUGGUUGUUUCAUCAUUCCUCUAAUUAGGGCUAGACUGAUUGUUACACACAUUUAUAUUCUCCUUUUUCUCUCUUAUACAUUUUUUGUUUGUUUUCUUACCCAGUUGCCUAAUUUUUGGAUCUGGCCAUUUUGUUCACGUUCUUUAACACUGCUUCUUUUUUUUUUUUUUGAGGCAGGGUCUUGCUCUGUCACCCAGGCUGCAGUGCAGUUGCACAAUCUUGGCUCACUGCAACCUCCACCUCCUGGGUUCAAAUGAUCUCCUGCCUCUCUGCCUCCCAAGUAGCUGAAAUUACAGCUGUGUGCCACCACUCGAGGCUAAUGUUUGUAUUUUUAUUAGAAACAGCAUUUCACCAUGUUGGCCAGGGUGGUCUCAAACUCCUGACCUCAACUGAUCUGCCUGCCUCAGCCUCCCAAAGUGCUGGGAUUAUAGGUGUAAGCCACCAUGCCUGGCCAACACUGCUUCUUUACUUAAAGAGUGAAAACAAGGGCUGGGCAUGAUGACUCAUGCCUGUAAUCCCAGCACUUUGUGGGGCCAAGGCAGCAGAUUGCUUUAGUCCAGGAAUUUGAAACCAGUCUCAGUCUGGGCAACAUUGCAAAGCCUCAUCUCUACAAAAAAAAUAUAAAUUAGCUGAGCGUGGUGGCACACAUCAGUAGUUCCAUCAUUUUGGGGAGGCUGAGGUGGGAGGAUUGCUUGAGCCAAGAGGCUGAGGCUAUCGUGAGUAGUGAUUACACCACUGUACCCCAGCCUGGGCAACAGAGCAAGACUAUCUCAACCAAAAAAAAAAAAAAAGAGAGAGAGUCAAAAUAGGUAUAUUUUAUUGGCAAUGUAGUUCAAGGCUUUAUAGCAUUAACUUGCUUUAAAAGGUAAUUUAUGAGAUGUCAUAUUGUAAUGUGAGAUGGUUUUGUGCUUUGUUGUUUAUUUUUUCUUAAAUGUCAUACAGUAGCUUUUGGAAUGUACCUUUUUUUUUUUUGAGAUGGAGUUUUGCUCUUGUUAUCCAGACUGGAGUACAAUGGCAUGAUCUCGGCUCACCGCAACCUCUGCCUUCUGGGUUCAAGCAAUUCUCCUGCCUCAGCCUCCCGAGUAGCUGGGACUACAGGCACGCACCACCAUGCCCAGCUAAUUUUUGUAUUUUUAGUAGAGACGGGGUUUCACCUCGUUGACCAGGAUGGUCUCGAUCUCUUGACCUUGUGAUCCAUCCGCCUCGGCCUCCCAAAGUGCUGGGAUUGCAGGCGUGAGCCACCGCAUGUGGCCUGGAAUGUACCUUUUUUUUUCAGUUGAACUGUUCUGAGUAAGGUUGACUUAGUAUUUUCCUUUUCAUAUUCACCAUUACUAGAAGUUUUGUUGCAGAACAAAUAAUUCUUUAGAAGCUUUGGAAUUAGAGACUGUUCCACUAUUUUAUUACAUAACAAACCACCCACAAAAACUUUGUGGCUCAAAACAACAAUGGCUUCUCAUGAAUCUGUGGGUUGAUUGUGCAGUUCUCCUUCACGUAGUAUCAGCAGGCUGAGGCUGCAGUCAUUUUGAGGCCCAGGCUGGGACAUUCAAGAUAGCUCACUCACAUGUUUGGUGCUGGGCUCUGCUGAGACACUGAGUUGGCUGGACCUCGCUCUCUCCAUAUAGUCUCAGGGUCUCUCCCUCUCCACUUAGCCACUCCAUGUGGUUGCUGCAGCAGAGUAGCCAGACUUCUUACUAGCAGUUCCCAAAAAGUGCAAAGGUAAAAGCUAGCAAUUCUUAAAAACUAGUCCUGGCCGGCACGGUGGCUCAUGCCUAUAAUCCCAGCACUUUGGGAAGUCGAGGCAGGCGGAUCACGAGGUCAGGAGUUCAAGACCAGCCCGGCCAGCAUGGUGAAAUCCCAUCUCUACUAAAAAUACAAAAAAUUAGCCGGGCAUGGUGGUGCUUGCAUGUAAUCCCAGCUACUCAGGAGGCUGGAGCAGGAGAAUCACUUGAGACUCUGUCUUAAAAAAAACCAAAAAGACUAGUUCCUAAACCAGAACUUGCACACUGCUACUUCUUUCACAUUCUUGUUGUUAAUGCAAGUUACCAGCUCAGAUCCGGUGUGGAGGGAGUGCUAUGAAAGGGUGUGAAUACAAAGAACUAUGAAUCAUCCAAGACCAUCUUUGGAGAUUAGCCACCAAAGGGACAUUUAGCAGCCUAGUGAUGAAAUCUCGGGCAGUUUUUAUGAUGUUUAAAUAAUCCAAAUGUUAAGACUACAUUUGGAUUAUUUAGCCUUUAUUUAUAUUCAUUUCCGCUCCCCAUCAACCAGUUCCUCUAUUUCAGCAUCUGUUUUGUUCUAUUGCAGUUAGAUAGGAACUAGCUAGCAACUGUUUAGCUGUAAGUUAGGCAUGACUGAAAAAGAAUUUAAGUAAAUUAGUUAGGGACAAGUGAGUACAAAAUAGAAUAGAUGAUGUCAUAAACUUUGUGUUUAUGAUGAUAAAGUAGUAAGAGCGUAAAAAGAUGUACCAUUUAUUUACUGUUGCUGAAACACUGAAGACCAAAAGAACAGAAAAAGAAGAGGAAAGGAAAGAUAAAAUAAUUUUAUUUAAAAAAAUCAAUAUGUGGUUUUUCAUAUUUACAGUAGUACCUGAGACUUAAUAGGUAAUACAUCUUUGAAUGACUGAAGUUUUCUUUUCAGCAGGAGAGUUAUCAUUCAUGGCCACCCUGAGUGAAAAAAAAUAUUUUUAAAGGGAGUUAUUGGUAUUUCAGACAAUAUAUAUUUUACUCAGUUAGUUUAUAGACAAGUUAGAAGAUCUGAGAGUGUCAUUCAUUAUACUUUGAGCAUAGUUCACCUUUGGCCAAGUGGAUGUUCAUAAGAUGUAGAUGUUCUCUAAGAACUGAAAACCUUUUAUAUCUUAACUUUAACUAAGAAUACCAUUUUUAGGAAUUGUUUGUGAUAGAAAAAAACUACACUGAUGGGUCUGUUGUAUUUGGUAUACAGAAGAUUUAGUAUGCCUAGAUGUUUUGUAUGCCUUUAUUAUAAUUUUUCGAGAAUUAUUACUUUUUUCUUUUUUUGAGACAGUCUUACUCUGUUACCCAGGCUACAGUGCAGUGGCACGAUCUUAGCUCACUGCAACCUCUGCCUCCCAGGUUCCAAUGAUUCUCCUGCCUCAGCCUCCCAAGUAGCUGGGAUUACAGGCCCCCAUCACCAUGUCCAGCUAAUUUUUAUAUUUUUAGUAGAGACAGGGUUUUGCUAUGUUGGCCAGGCUGGGUCUCAAACUCCUGAUCUCAGGUGAUCCACCAGCCUCGGGCUCCCAAAUUGCUAGGAUUACAGGCAUAAGCCACUGUGCCUGGCCAGUUUUUUAAAAGUAUAGACAGGUUUAUAAGCCAAGUUGGCUUAGCCAGUAUAUAGGCUUUUAUAGUUAUCAUUUGGCUCUGCCCUCUAAGAUAGCAGAUGGAAAAUAUCAGAGGACACUACAUGCCAGUUAGUAUUUCUAAUAAUAAAUAGGAUUCCUAAACACAGCCCAAUGCAGCUUUUUUUUUUCUUCUUUCUUUUUUUAAGAUGGAGUCUUGCUCUGUCACCCAGGCUGGAGUACAGUAGCACAGUCUCGGCUCACUGUAGCCUCUGCCUCCCAGGUUCAAGCAAUUUUCCUGCCUCAGCCUCCUGAGUAGCUGAGAUUACAGGCACGCGCCACAAUGCCUGGCUAAUUUUUAUAUUUUUAGUAGAGACGGUGUUUCAACAUGUUGGCCAGGCUGGACUCAAACUCCUGACCUCAUGUGAUCCGCCUGCCUCAUUCUCCCAAAGUGAUGGGAUUACAGGCGUGAGCCGCUGCGCCUGGCCAACGGCUUCUUUUUUUAUGUUGUUUUUGUGUUUAUAGUUUUUUUUGUGAUGGGGUCUCACUCUGUUGCCCAGGCUGGAGUACAGUGGCACAGUCAUGGCUCACUGCAGCCUUCACCUCCCAGGUUCAAGCAGUCCUCCUACCUCAGCCUCCCUACUAGCUGGGAUUGCAGAUGCACAGAACCAUACCCAGCUAAUUAAAAAAAUUUUUUUUGUAGAGUGGUGUCUUAUUUUUUUACCCAGGCUUGUCCCAAAUGACUCAUCUCGAGCAGUCCUGCUUCUGUCUCCCAAAAUGCUGGGAUUACAGAUGUGAGCCACUGUGCCUGGCCCCAAUGCAGCUUCUUUUUUUUUUUUUUUCUUCCAAUUUUAGAACAUUUUUAUCAUGCCAGAAAGAUUCCCUGUGCCCAUUUUCCUUCCAACGUAACUUCUAAUACCUGAACAGUCUCAAAACAUUUAGUCUUUUUAGAAUAAUAAAAUCAUAGAACUGAUUUGGAGACCCUUUUAAAGAAGUCAACUCAUCCCACCCUGAGCUAUCGAAAUCUCUUUGCAGAAUAGAACUAAAAAGACUUACUUGCUCACAACCAAGAUCCUCUUUCCCUUCAGUUACCCUACAUAUGACGUGGCGUGAGGUCACCUCACUUACCCUUCUCUCUCUCCUUAGAUUUUUUACGUUCUCUCAAAUUUGUACACUUAGUUAUAAGCAUAUUCAAGUGUAGUCUGAUUUGCAGAGAAUGCCAUUUUCUUCAUUCAGACUUUGCUUUUAAUGAAACCUGAUAUUAGUGAUUCUGGCAGCUGUGCCACACUGUUUGUCUCUUUGAAAUAGGCUUUUUAAAUUUGAAAUAGGCUUUUUAAAACGCCUAGUCAUUUCUCACUGUCCUGUGCCAUUUUGUUGUUAAUGUUGAUUUUUUUGUUCCAAGCUCAUGACUUUAUAUUUGUCCUUAUUAAAAGGAUCCCUUAAAUUUAGCCUCCUAUUCCAGCCACUUAGGGUUAAAAGUUGAUUAUGUCAUACAGGGUAUUUACUUUCCCAUCCCAGAUUCCUGUCAUGUGCACAUUUGAUCAUCCUCCUUUUCCAUUUCCUUGUCAUCCAAGUCAUUUAUAAAAAAAGUUACAGAGGACAGGUUGCUCUGGGGCCCUGUGGGAGUCUACUGAGCUUUCUUCCAGAUUUAUCUGCACUCUUUUUUUUUUUUUUUUUUGAGGUAGAGUCUCACUCUGUUGCCAGGCUGGAGUGUGGUGCAACCUCAGCUCACUGCAACCUCCACCUCCUAGGUUCAAAUGAUUCUCUUGCCUCAGCCUCCCAAGUAGCUGGGACUACAGGCAUGUGCCACCAUGCCCAGCUAAUUAUUGUAUUUUUAGUAGAGACAGGCUUUCACCACGUUGGCCAGAUGGUCUCCAUCUCUUAACCUCGUUAUGCACCCACCUUGGCUUCCCAAAGUGCUGGGAUUACAGGCAUGAGCCACCGCACCCGGCUUCCCAAAGUGCUGGGAUUACAGGCAUGAGCCACCGCACCCGGCUUCCCAAAGUGCUGGGAUUACAGGCAUGAGCCACCGCACCCGGCUUCCCAAAGUGCUGGGAUUACAGGCAUGAGCCACCACGCCCGGCCUAGCUGCACUCUUUAGGUACAGUUGUAUGGUCAUCUGUGAAGCCACUUAACUUUUAAGUUGAAAAAAUUAUAUAUUUUUUCACCUUGCACAAUGAUAUCAAGAGAGACUUUAUUUUAUCCAUUACUAAAAUCCUAUACUAUAUUCAUACCUAUAGCAUUUGCUGGCCUAACCAUAUAAAAAAAGGAAAAUGGAGUUUGGUUGUGGCUUCUAGAUGUUCCCAAUACUAGUUUUUAUUAAUAACUAUUCUUUUAGUAACCUAUUCUGCAGUCUUGCUUGUCCUGCAUAUCAUAUCACUCUGGUAUAAGAUACGGAGAAUGUGAUCUCCCUUCUUUUUGAAAAUUGCAGCUGACUCUCUUUUCAGACUCAGCCCGCCUGCACCCAGAUGAAUUAAAAAAAAAAAAAAAAAGAAAGAAAAGCAAAUUGCUUCUGCAGGCUGGGCACAGUGGCUCACGCCUGUAAUCCCAACACUUUGGGAGGCCGAGGUGAGUGGAUCACUUGAUGUCAGGAGUUCGAGACCAGUCUGGCCAACAUGGUGAAAACGCAUCUCUAUUAAAAUACAAAAAUUAGCCAGGAGUGGUGGUGCAUACAUGUAAUCCCAGCUACUCAGCAGGCUGAGGCUGGAGAAUCUCUUGAACCUGGGAGGCAGAGGUUGUGGUGAGCCAAGAUCGCAUCACUGCACUCCAGCCUGGAUGGCAGAGUAAAACUCCAUCUCAAAAAAAAAAAUAAAAUUGCUUCUGCAGACACACAAAGCUAAUGUGAUUUUUGGGUUUAUUAGAAUCAUAAGGUUUGUCUGAGUUUCCAGAGUGUCACUCAUGGAUCUCAUCUGCAGAUUCUUCAAAUUCUCUGGUAUAGAAUUCUUCCAGGAGGUUCUCAUUCAUUUAAGCAGAUAGGCACCCUUUGAUAGUCUCCUUAUUUAUCUUGGUCACUAAUCUCCUUUUCCUAAUAUUUUUUCUUUUCUUUCUACUUUCAAGGUGAUUUUUCUUGACAGAAAAGAUAGAAGAAAAACAGGGAUUGAGAUGUUCUGUCUCUGCUUUAUAUUAAUUAAUAAUAUGCCAUUGACAUCAAAGAGUGGGCCUGUGCCUUCCUUACCUUUUUUGCAAGUCUCAGCACAUCCUGGGCUUCAGCUUCAGCUUCCUUUUUGAUGACACAUCAGUGCAAUUUGUAAAAAUAGUUUCUUUCUUUUUAUAUAUGUCGUGCAUGCCUGUCUGAGUUGAUUGGUGAGCUUUCCAGCUCGUCUCUUUAGAUAAGCCCCCUCUUUUUUCCACCUCUAUCUCAUAAUGUGAGAUUUGCCAGAAUUUCAUUUUUGAGAACCUUAAUCCUGUUGUCUUCCCUUUUAGCACCUCACACCAUGGCCUAAGGUCCUGUCUCCUUGACUGGUUGAAGCCUGUUCUCGGUGUCUAGUUGCUACAUCUAGCUGUGCACCUUGCCGGUCUGCCUGCCUGUCUGCCUUGGAUGUUUUCUUUUGGAGGCUUCCACUACUUCUUUUCUGAUCAAUUUUUUUAAUUCAAAUUAGGUUCCAAAUUAACAUUCUACUCAUUUCUUAUACCUUCUGGAUGAUAGAAUAAUUUGCAAGGCAAAUUUUAAAAAUCAUAUAUGCUGCUUGUUAGUUGAAUGAGAUCUUUCAGUAGCAGAAAUCUUUUAUCAUUAUUUGUGACAGAAGGUAAGCCAUUUUCGCCUUUACUAGAUAGUUAGGACAUCUCACUAUCUUUAUGGUAAAACCGUAGGGCCAUCUCUCCUUGCCAGGUCUCCUUCCUGAUUUGACCUACAUCCUUCCCACAAAUCCCAGAAAAUCAGUCUAUUUUCUUAAAGUUGUUAUGACCAAUUGUUUGCCAAAUAUUGUUUUCUUUUGAAGCUGGCCUCAGAGUAGGGUGUAGUCUCUUCAGCAGUUGCCCUUCCAGGCUGUAGCUAGCAUAGGGAUGUUAGUAUGCUUUUAUUUCAAAUGCUUUAUUUUCAUCAUUUAGUGGAGGCUAAGUGGGGGUUACAAAUAGGGACAUUGAAGUUAUCUUCUUGUCUCAAGUUAGUUUCUAGCUUCCUUAGAUGCUAUCUACUGCCUUUCUUACUCAAGGUAGCACUCUUCAAUCCUCUCCCUCUCCCUUUUCUAGGCUCUUUCUAGAACAGAGCAUCUCAAACAGCUGGUAGGCCUGAAGGAAGAAAGCUAAACCAUAGUUAUGAACUAGGAGAGACCGUUCAGGGGCUGCCUCUUCUCAAGAGGGUAAUUUAUACCUCAGGGGACCAUGAAACAGCUCUUUGUGGAAUCCUAGAUCACUCCCGAUAUUGUUCCUCUUACUUUCACUCAGUUGCUUUCUGCUGUGUCUCCAUGCUCAGGUGUGGAUUUCCAUUUAGGGUGUACAUUUUUAACAUAUACUCAACUUAUCCUUUUAACAGGUGUGAUUUCUAUAUCUUUAUAUUUUGAUCAGAGAUAGGAUAAGAUCAAAAAUUCUGAAAUGAUAGCCGAGUAUUGUUCAGUGCUGAGUAUUAUGGUGAAUGCAAACAACCUGUCAAAGGACAGAACUACAGCAAAUGUAAACAUCCCGAGUGGCUUUAUUUGUGAUUCUAGAAUUGAGCAAGACAUCAUCCAUAGAACAGAGUAAUUUUUCCAGUGAGCUGAGCAGAAGAGGUUAGACAGAAGGACCAAAGAAAGCAGAAGCAAAGAACAGAGUGUAUUGGUUACUUUUCAGAGUUAUUUUUUCUUGUAAGGCUGGGAGAGGGAGACAGAACAAUAGAAAAAUAACUGAUUGAUUCAUCUAGAGGUCAGAAUGGAAGCAGGUGUGAGAGGGUCCAGCAGAAGAAACCAUGGCUGCCAAAGUGUUUCAGUCCAUUGUAAGUUUGCCCUGGCCUUAGCUCUUGCAGGAGGCGUGGUGAACUCUGCCUUAUAUAAUGUAGAUGCUGGGCACAGAACUGUCAUCUUCAACCGGUUCCAGGACAAAAAUAAUAGGACAUUGUGGUAGGGGAAGGGACUCACUUUGUCAUCCCAUGGGUACAGAAACUAAUUCUCUUUGACUACUCUUCUUGAUCACAUAAUGUGCCAGUCAUUGCUGGUGGCAAAGAUUGACAGAAUGUCAACCUCACACUGUGCAUCCUUUUCCGGCCCCUUGCUAGCCAGCUUCCUCGCAUCUUCUCCAGCAUUGAAGAGGACUAUGAUGAGCUUGUACUGCAGUCCUCUCUGUCCAUCACUACAGAGAUCCUCAAGUCAGUGGUGGCUCACUUUGGUGCUGGAGAGCUAAUCACCGAGAGAUGGUGGGUCUUCAGGCAAGUGAGCGACGGAGCAAGCAGCCACCUUUGAGCUCAUCCUGGAUGAUGUGUCCUUGACGCAUCUGACCUUUGGGAAGGAGUUCACAGAAGUGGUGGAAGCCAAACAGGUGGCUCAGCAGGAAGCAGAGAGGGCCAGAUUUGUGGUGGAAAAGGCUGAGUAGAAAAAGGCGACCAUCAUCUCUGCUGAGGGCGACUCCAAGGCAGCCGAGCUGAUUGCCAACUCACUGGCCACUGCGGGGGAUGGCCGGAUCGAGCUGCACAAGCUGGAAGCCGCGGAGGACAUCAUGUACCAGCUCUCACACUCUCAGAACAUCACCUACCUGCCAGCAGGGCAGUCCUUGCUCCUCCAGCUGCCCCAGUGAGAACCCACCCUACCUGCAGCUCCACAGGGUGACUAGGCCACAGCCCCGAUGACUCUUAACACAGCCUUCCUUCUCUCCCUACCUCAGAAAUCACUGUGAAAUUUCGUGAUUGACUUAAAGUGAAGGCAAUAAAAGUAAAAUCACUUCAGAUCUCUAAAAAACAAAAAGGCUGGGCGCGGUGACUCACGCCUGUAAUCCCAGCACUUUGGGAGGCUGAGGUGGGUGGAUCGCGAGGUCAAGAGAUCGAGACCAUCCUGGUCAACAUGGUGAAACCCCAUCUCUACUGAAAAUACAAAAAUUAGCUGGGCAUGGUGGCAUGCGCCUGUAGUCCCAGCUACUCGGGAGGCUGAGGUAGGAGAAUUGCUUGAACCCAGGAGGUAGAGGUUGUGGUAAGCCGAGAUCGCGCCAUUGCACUCCAGCCUGGGUGACAAGAGUGAAACUCCGUCUCAAAAAAAAAAAGAAAAGAAAAAGAAGAAAAAGAAAAAUCACUGAUUAGUUGGGCAAGGUGGCUCAUACCUAUAAUCCUAGCACUUUGGGACAUUAAGAGAGGAGAGCUUGAGCUCGAGUUCAAGACCAGCCUGAGUAACAUGAUGAGACCCUGUCUUUACAAAAAAUUUGAAAAUUAGCUGGACAUGGUGGAGCACACCUGUAGUCCCAGCUACUUGGGAGGCUGAAGCUGGAGGAUCCCUUGAACCUAAGAAUUGAAGGCAGCAGUGAGCUUUGAUCAUGCCACUGUGCCCCCGCCUGGGUGGACAGAGUGAAACACCAUCUAAAAAAAAAAAAGAAAGAAAGAAAGUAGCUGGUUGGUUAACCUAGGUUGCUUCAGGCUACCAUUUUUGUGUGAGGAUUAAAGCAGAGGGAACUUCAUUAUCAUGCUGUUUGAAGAUUUAAACUGUCCUAUUUGGGAAAUAGGUGUUCUCUCUCUCCUGAUUUCUUAGAAGAUCAGAUAGCUUAGUCUAGGUUUAAGGAUGUAGAACUUAACAUGAACGACUCCAUUUUUAUUUGUAGUCUGGUCUGUUGGGGCCUCGUAUAGGAGUCUAGUGGCCUCCUAUAAUUUUUUACUUAACAAAAGUAUAUAUCAUAUGAAUCAAUAUUUGCUAAGAACAUGAAAGAGAAGUCUUCCUUUCAAAUAGCUUAUGUUUCAUUGAAAUGAAUUAAUCCAGGCAUGUCGGCUUAUGCCUGUGAUCCCAAUACUUUGUGAGAAGAGGUGGGAGGAUUGAGGCUUGGAGUUUGAGACCACCCUGGACAGCAUAGCAAGACCCCCAUUUCUACAAAAAACGUAAAAAUAAGAAAUGAAUAUGUAAAGCAAUCAGAAAAUACAAUAAAAUGUUAAAUUAUACAUUGGCAGCAAGUACUUAGAAUCUACCAGAAUGGGUUUGGGUUUUCCUUAUCCGAACUCACCCCUGAGGAAAGAGCAGACUUUUGUAUUUCCAAAAUUGUUUCUGGAUAUGCUUGUUUUUGUUUUGGUAUAAAUAGGGACCUAGAAUUAUAUUUACAGUGACCUUUAGCCUCUAUCUCUAGGAAAGUGGAACUGAAUAGGUACUCUUUUGUUCCCACAGCAGUCUAAAAGGAAAUUCGGUGUAGCAAGAAUAUGAAUAAUUGAAAUAUGUUUGGAGUUUAUAGAUCUUAAAUUCUGAUGAGGAAAUAUAGUCUUGUGUAUUUGGUUUGGCUGUGCUAUUUUGAGUUAAUUUUAGGGGUAACGUUGAGAAUCAGCUUUAGAAUUCCAGCCCCAGAUGACAGUCUUUUGCUUAGUCAUGGGUUAUGUAUAAUGCCACAUGAUCCUGAGAAGACUAGGAUCGGUUGCUAUUUAUUAACCUUGGUUGGCAGUGAUACUUGAGAAGAAAAACUAACCACCAUACAUUCGUAAAGGUUGAACUGUUGCUACAUUUCAAAAUCCGAUUUGCCUUGUUACCUGGUAAUCUUCACUAAUCUUUUAAGGAAUCAUCAGAUGUGAUGUAUUUGAGAAUGAUAAGGCAGUAAAGACUUCCAGAUGCUAACACUUUGUUUCUUAAGUUUUGUGGUGUUUUGCUUUAUUUUCUAUACUUUUUAUUAUGGGAGCACUGGUAACUUCCUGAUCUUGAGAAAUAAAAGAACUAGAACACAGUGAUUUUUUAGAAAACUCUGUUUCUACAGUUUUAAAUAGUCUCAAGGGAACAAUAAUAUGUUUCAUGUGACAAAUUAAUAUGGACAGGAAGAAGGAUUCCCUCAACAUUUUCCACUCUUAACCCAUGUGAGUAAAGCUGAAGGAAAAGGAAGUGCCUUCUGUGUUUCUGGCCUUUGAAAUAUUUUUUAAUGAUUAGAAAACUGUUUCUUGGGCCGGAUGCGGUGGCUCAAGCCUGUAAUCCCAGCACUUUGGGAGGCCGAGGCCGGUGGAUCACGAGGUCAAGAGAUCGAGACCGCCCUGGUCAACAUGGUAAAACCCCGUCUCUACUAAAAAUACAAAAAAUUAGCUGGGCAUGGUGUCCCAGCUACUCGGGAGGCUGAGGCAGGAGAAUUGCCUGAACCCAGGAGGCGGAGGUUGCGGUGAGCUGAGAUUGUGCCAUUGCACUCCAGCCUGGGUAUCAAGAGCAAAACUCCAUCUCAAAAAAAAAAAAAAAAACAACUGUUUCUUCAUGAAAACUGGUUUGCCUGUAGUCUUACUGGAUUCAAAUAAUAAUGUAUUGUUAUUCAGACAUUAGCAGAAAGAAAAAUUUUCUUCUCUUCCACCACUCCUUUUUUUAGUUUUCAUGGCAGUAAAUUAUUUUUUACCUGCGUGUGAAGUCAAUAAUCAGAACAUUUACUACUUGUUUUAUUUUACAGUAAGAAUUUAUAAUAUUGUCUGUAAAAUUCACAUGAGGGCAGUCAACUUUUUGUCAAUAGUGUCUUUGCCUGAAGGUAGUGACCCUGUAAUCUGAUAUAUUAGUGAAAAUGUAUAUACUGGUGAGGGAUAUAGGUUUACAUAAAGAAUUGCUUUUUCAUCUGUGGAUGGUAAAAAAAGGCAUUUUGGUCUCUUUAUAAGCGUAAUAUUUAAAUUAUAGGUAAAAGUUUCAAUGUAUUCCAUUUUGAACAUGGGGAAUAUUAACAAGAAUCACUUGGCUGGGUGCCGUGGCUCACUCUUGUAAUCCUAGCACUUUGGGAGGCUGAGGCAAGUGGAUCACUUGAGGUUAGGAGUUUGAGACCAGCCUGGCCAACAUGAUGAAACUCUAUCUCUACUAAAAAUACAAAAAUUAGCCAGGGGUGGUGGCACCUGCCUGUAGUCCCAACUACUCGGGAGGCUGAGGUAGGAGAAUUGCUUGAACCCAGGAGGCAAAGGAUGCAGUGAGUGGAGAUCGCACCACUGCACUCAAGUCCGGGAGGCAGAGCAAGACUCCGCCUCAAAAAAAAAAAAAAAUCACUGGAUUCCUGACUUCUAACCUUUUGGGGGAAUCUUAAUUGUUUAUUUUAUUUCAUGUACCCUGUUUCUUUUUUUUGUACCUAGAAGUACCCUGUGGCCUAUACAUAUUUUUUCUUUUUUAAAACAACUUUACUGUGGAAAAUUUCAAACAUAUACCAAGUAAACAGAAUAAUAUGAUGAACCCUCUUGUAUUCAUCACCUUGCUUUAGAAGUCAUCAAGAUGCUACUACUCUUUUAGCUUUUUUUUUUUUUUGCCCCAGUCUCGCUAAUGUCGCCCAGGCUGGAGUACAGUGGCACAAUCUUGGCUCAAGCUAUUCUCAUGCCUCAGCCUCCCACAUGGCUAGGAUUACAGACAUGUGCCACCACACCCAGCUAAUUUUUGGUUUUUAUUUAGUAGAGAUGGGGUUUCACCAUGUUGGCCAGGCUGGUCUUGAACUCCUGGCCUCAAGUGAUCCGCCUGCGUUGCCUCCCAAAGUGCUGGAAUUACAGGCAUGAGCCACCACACCUGGCCUUCUUUUACCAUUUAUACAUCUACACAUUCCCCAUCCUCUACUCAAUAAUUUUUUUUUAGGUAAAAUUCAUAUACACUGAGAUGCAAAAAUAAGCUGUUACAGUUACAACUAUGUAGCACACCUAUCAUAGUAUAAAACAUUUUUAUCUCCCCAGAAAGUCCCCUUAUAUACCUUCCAAGUCAUCCCUUGCCCCAACAGGAAACCAUUGUUCUCUUUGGCUUUGCCUGUUUUUGAAUGUCAUAUAAACAGAACCAUGCAUUAUGCAUUCUUUGUGUCUGGCUUUUUUUGUCAAUCAUUGUAUCUGUGAGAUUCAUCCAUGUUGCAUUCCUUUUUUUUUGCUGAGUAGUCCAUUGUAUGGGUAUGCCACAGUUUGUACAUUCAUUCUCUUAUGAACAUUUGGGUUCUUUCCAGUUUUUGCUUUUUUUUUUUUUCAAGAUGGAGUCUUGCUCUGUUGCCCAGGCUGGAGCGCAGUAGCACAGUGUUGGCUCACUGCACCUCUGCCUUCUAAGGUCAGGUGAUUCUCCCGCCCCAGCCUCCCAAGUAUCUGGGACCACAGGCAUGCGCCACCAUGCCCAGCUAAUUUUUGUAUUUUGGGUAAAGACGGGGUUUUGCCAUGUUGGCCAGGCUGGUCUCGAACUCCAGACCUCAGGUGACCCACCCACCUUGGCCUCACAAAGUACUGGGAUUACAGGUGUGAGCCACCGUGCCCAGCCUAGUUUUUGCUUUUGUGCUAUGAACAUUUACAACAAGUCUUUGGGUGGAUUUAUGUUUUCAUUUUUCUUUGACAUGUACCAAUGGGUGGAAUUGCUAGAUCAAUAGAUGCAUAUUUUAUUUAUUUAUUUAUUUAUUGUAUUAUUAUUAUUAUUUUGAGAUAGAGUUUCACUCUUGUUGCCUAGGCUGGAGUGCAGUGGCUCAAUCUCGGCUCACCGCAACCUCUGCCUCCCAGGUUCAAGUGAUUCUCCUGCCUCAGCCUCCCAAGUAUCUGGGAUCACAGGCAUACACCACCACACCCAGCUAAUUUUGUAGUUUUAGUAGAGCCAGGGUUUCUCCAUGUUAGGCUGAUCUCGAACUCCCAACCUCAGGUGAUCUGCCUGUCUUGGCCUCCUAAAGUGCUGGGAUUACGGGUGUGAGCCACCAUGCCCAGCCUCUUUCUUUAUUUUUUUGAGACAGUUUUGCUUUUGCUGCCCAAGCUGUAGUGCAAUGGUGCCAUCUUGGCUCACUGCAACUUCUGCCUACCAGGUUCAAGUGAUUCUCCUGCCUCAGGCUCCCAAGUACCUGGGAUUUCAGGCAUGCGCCACCAUGCCUGGCUAAUUUUGCAUUUUUAGUAGAGAUGGGUUUCUCCACGUUGGUCAGGCUGGUCUCAAACUCCCGACCUCAGGUGAUCUGUCCGCCUCCCAAAGUGCUGGGAUUACAGGUGUGAGCCACCAUGCCCAGCCGCAUGUUUAAUUUUAUAAAAACCUGCCAAACCGUUUCCUAAAGUGUUUAUGUCAUUGUACAUUCCCCCUGACAAAGGAUAGAUAUGUGUCUGUGGUUUGCAAGUUUAGAUAAACUGAUAGAUACAAGAAGCUUUUCCUUAUAGGAAAUGGUUUGUAGGACUAUCUCAAUAUUAGUUGUUAUUCCACAGAAUGUAAGAUGACCUUGAAAUAUAUACUCAUCAUUAGUUUGUUGUUUUUACGUGGCUUCUAAGGAGUUGUAGAAAUUAUUUCAGUCCUUUUAGUAAAUCAGCUGAUGUUGUUAUACAGAUAGUAUAGUUGUUGCCUUUAUGAGAACAAAUACAUUACUGAGUGUCAUUUUUUGGAACUCUGUUUAUAAUUUCCAGAGUCCUUUUAGGAACGCUUGUCUGUGAUUCCUAGAAACAUUCUCUUUAACACUUAGUGGUUUUAGCACUGAAUAUCUGUCAUCACCCACACUAUUGUGGUCAGGGGGAUAUCACAGCAGGUAAUCUAAAUGAAAUGGUUGGGAUGAAACUCCACUAAGGUAAGUAAUGUUUAUUGCUUUCCAAAGAAUAUUACAGUUAAAUUAUUCAACAAUAAAUCUGCCUUUGCACCAUUGUCAGGUAUUAAUGUGAGUCAUUUGUUCU